AUCGAUGAAGAACGCAGCGAAUUGCGAUAAGUAAUGUGAAUUGCAGAUUUUCAGUGAAUCAUYGAAUCUUUGAACGCACCUUGCGCUCCUUGGUAUUCCGAGGAGCAUGCCUGUUUGAGUGUCAUUUAAUUCUCAACCAUCCCUCGAUUCGUUUCGAGGUUUGGCUUGGAUUUUGGGGGCUGCCGGGCGACCCUACGGUCUUCGGCUCUCCUUAAAAGCAUUAGCGAUGGUGGAACGACCUAACUCCAUGCAUGAAYGGCCUUCGACGUGAUAAUGAUCGUCGUGGCUGGAGUGCUAGCGGGCGUCGUGAAGCCGGYGCUUCUAAAUCUCUCGUCGAAAGACGAAACUCGAAACUUGACCUCAAAUCAGGUAGGACUACCCGCUGAACUUAAGCAUAUCAAUAAGCGGAGGAAAAGAAACUAACAAGGAUUCCCCUAGUAACUGCGAGUGAAGCGGGAUGAGCUCAAAUUUUGAAUCUGGCGGUCUUCAGGCCGUCCGAGUUGUAAUCUAGAGAAGCGUCUUCCGCGCUGGACCGUGUACAAGUCUCCUGGAAGGGAGCGUCGUAGAGGGUGAGAAUCCCGUCUUUGACACGGACCGCCAGUGCUAUGUGAUGCGCUCUCGACGAGUCGAGUUGUUUGGGAAUGCAGCUCAAAUCGGGUGGUAAACUCCAUCUAAAGCYAAAUAUUGGCGAGAGACCGAUAGCGAACAAGUACCGUGAGGGAAAGAUGAAAAGAACUUUGGAAAGAGAGUUAAACAGUAYGUGAAAUUGCUGAAAGGGAAACGCUUGAGGUCAGUCGCGUCGGACGGGGAUCAACCUUGCUUCUCGCUCGGUGUACUUCCUGCUCGACGGGUCAGCAUCAGUUUCGAUCGCCGUACAAGGGUCGAGGGAAUGUGGCACUCCUCGGAGUGUGUUAUAGUCCUCGGUCGCAUGCGGUGGUCGGGACUGAGGAACUCAGCACGACCCCUCGAGGGUUCGGGGCCACGGCCUACGUUAACGUGCUUAGGAUGCUGGCAUAAUGGCCUUAAGCGACCCGUCUUGAAACACGG
rnacentral:rRNA from 1 species